ACUUCAGUUCUGAAUCAAAGUCUAUAGCGCAACAUCAGGACUGACGGGUCAGACUUUCCUGGGAGGCCUGGGGCCCUCUUGGUUGCAGAGUGAUUAGAGUAUCCCACCUCCAGGGGACCUCAGGUUUUCCCCUCAGAGGCCAACUGAGAGUGGGCCAGCUCCAGUCCCCACCCUCACCCCACUCAGCUCCUCAUGCUCCAAAAUCCCAGGCAAAAGGCAUCUGUCACCAAAACAAGUGGCCCGCCAUUUCAGCAGGGAGCAAAAGCUGGGAACAAAUGGUGUUUUGUCUAAACAAUUGUUUCGAAGAG
rnacentral:lncRNA from 10 species